GCAGACACAUUCCAGCCAAUCAGCAGCAGACCCUCCCUCCCAGACCCUCCCUCCUACUGGACAGCAUCCAUUUUAUAUUCAUUGUGAGCUGUCCAGGAGGUGGGAGGGUCUGGGAGGGAGGGUCUGCUGCUGAUUGGCUGGAAUGUGUCUG